rnacentral:tRNA from 1 species
AGCGCUGUAGUGCAGCGGCCAAGCGCACCGCGAGGCGUAGGGUUCGAGUCCCGCCAAUAGGCAAGUGGCCCCGCCCGCAGUAACGCCGGUUCGAAUCCGGCCAGCGCAC